rnacentral:lncRNA from 1 species
AGAGCAGGACCUCGUAGGAGAGGUGACUUGAGUCAAGGAAGGAAGCGAGGGAACAAGCCAUGCGAGGAAUUAACUAAGGAACAUUUCAGAAGGAUUUCACAUCCCUGGCGUAAGGUCCGGGGGCAGCAGGCAUUGAGGCCAAUGUGGCUGGAGUGGAGAGAAAGAGGAGUUAAAAGGAUGGGAUAAUGACAAUAAUGGCUCACAUUUUUUUUUUUUUUUUUUGAGACGGAGUUUCGCUCUUGUUACCCAGGCUGGAGUGCAAUGGUGCGAUCUCAGCUCACCGCAACCUCCGCCUCCUGGGUUCAGGCAAUUCUCCUGCCUCAGCCUCCUGAGUAGCUGGGAUUACAGGCACACGCCACCAUGCCCAGCUAAUUUUUUGUAUUUUUAGUAGAGACGGGGUUUCACCAUGUUGACCAGGAUGGUCUCGAUCUCUUGACCUCAUGAUCCACCCACCUCGGCCUUCCAAAGUGCUGGGAUUACAGGCUUGAGCCACCGUGCCCGGCCUGGCUCACAUUUUUUAGCAAGAGGUAGGUUCACUAGCUAUCUAUCAUUAUCUGGGGGGAAAUCAGACUCAGGGAGGUCAAAUAACUUGCCAAAGGUCACACAGCUUGAAAGCGGCCAGAACAGCAUCGCAACCCAAGGAGACUGAUGUCUGAAACACACUCAGGAGUUCCAGGGCGGGGUGAGCUUGACCAAGACCGGCCCUUUUCACUGUGCCUCAGUGUCAUCCCAAAGAGCUGGCUGACACAGCCUGAAAUCAGGGUGCCGAGCAAGGGAGUAGGGCAUGUUUUCUCCUGGGUGAUGCUUUUGUUGACUGGGAAGCACUUGUCACCUCUCCAGGCUCUGGAGCAGGUACAAGUGGCUUCGGGGACGGAAGGUGGAAGGGCAGGAGCCGGGAAGAGGCUGCUUCUGAUAGUGGGGGAGAGAGGGGGCUUGUGGGGAGAGGAUAGGGAAGGGUAGCAAGAAGGGGCCAGGGCAACAGGAUGCAGUUACAGCAGCCCCCUGUUGUAGACACUGGAGGGUUUGGAUCAGGCACUUAAAAAUAAGAGCAGUGGCUGGGCGUUGUGGCUCAUGCCCGUAAUCCCAGCACUUUGGGAGGCUGAGGUGGGCAGAUCACGAGGUCAGGAGAUGAAGACCAUCCUGGCCAAUAGGGUGAAACCUUGUCUUUACUAAAAAUACAAAAAUUAGCCGGGUGUGGCAGCAUGUGCUGGCAGUCCCAGUUAUUCAGGAGGCUGAGGCAGGAGAAUCGCUUGAACCUGGGAGGCGGUGGUUGCAGUGAGCCAAGAUUGUGGCAUUGCACUCCGGCCUGGGCAAGAAAGAGCAAAACUUCAUCUCAAAAAAACAAAAUAAAAUAAAAUUAGGCCAGGCGCGGUGGCUCACACCUAUAAUCCCAGCACUUUGGGAGGCUGAGGCGGGUGGAUCACGAGGUCAAGAGAUCGAGACCAUCCUGGUCAACAAGGUGAAACGCCGUCUCUACUGAAAAUACAAAAAUUAGCUGGGCAUGGUGGCGUGCGCCCGUAAUCCCAGCUACUUGGGAGGCUGAGGCAGGAGAAUUGCUUGAACCCAGGUGGCAGAGGUUGCGGUGAGCCGAGAUCGCACCAUUGCACUCCAGCCUGGGUAAAAAGAGCGAAACUCCGUCUCAAAAAAAUAAUAAUAAAAAAAUAAAAUAAAAUAAGAGCAGUGGCCUGGGGCAGUGGCUCAUGCCUGAAAUCCCAGUGCUUUGGGAGGCUGAGGCAGGAGGAUCACUUGAGCCCAGGAAGCUGCAAUAAGCUGGGCACCACUGCAUUCCAGCCUGAGUGACAGAGUGAGACCCUGUCUCAAAAACCCAAACCCAAACUGGAAAACCACCACCUAGCAGGCGACUUUAAUAACAUCCCUAAUACAACUGUUGCUGACUGACACACACACACACACACACACACACACACACACAAAAGACCAGUCAGCAAGGUGGUGGGAUUUCCUCUUCCCAGCCAUAGUCAGCUAUUUAUUUCAGGUCGGGAGAGGGGGAGAGCAGGCAGUGUGAGAUGAAUCUGGUCACAGGAGUUGGCAGGAUCAAGAGACGAAGUUUUGCUCUUGUCUCCCAGGGUGCAGGCUGGAGUGCAAUAGCAUGAUCUCAGCUCAUUACAACCUCUGUCUCCCAGGUUCAAGCCAUUCUGCUGCUUCAGACUCUCGAGUAGCUGGGAUUACAGGUGCACACCACCACACACAAGAGUCUUGAACUCUUGAACAGUGGGUGGGCGAGCCAGUGAGCCAGCCAGUGAUGCUCCCACUGUAUUUCCAGCACCUUGUUAUGGCCAGCAUUACUGCCCAGGCUCUGCCUCCCGUCAGACCAGAGGUUGCAUUAGAUUCUCACAGGAGUGCAAACUUUAUUGUGAACCAUGCAUGUGAGGGACAUGGGUGGUGCAUCCUUAUGAAAAUCUAAUGCCUGAUGAUCUGCCACUGUCUCCCAUCACCUCCAGAUGGGACCAUCUAGUUGCAGGAAAACAAGCCCAGGGCUCCCAUUGAGUCUACAUGGCGGUGAGCUGCACGGGUAUUUCAUGAUCUAUCACAAUGUAGUAAUAGAAAUCAGGUAUAGAAUAAAUGUAGUGCUGUGGCGGGUUCAGUAAUUCAUCCCAUUUUAUGGCUGAGUAAUAUUCCGCUCUGUGGACAGACCACAUUUUGUUUAUCCAUUCAUGUGUUGGUAGACACUAGGAUGCUUCCAUGUUUUGGCUCGUGUGAAUGCUGCUAUGGACAUGGGGGUACCAUGAUGUGUUUUCAUUCUCUUGGAUGUGUACCUAGGAGUGGAAUUGCUGGGGCCUGUGAUCACUACUACCUGUUGUGUGUCUCACAAACCGAGAAUGCUGUGGUAGACAGAAUAAUGGCUCCCGCCAAGGUGUUCAUGCCUAUCCCCAGAAUCUGUUAACAGCAGUUACCUUACGUGCAAAAGGGGCUCUGCAGGUGUGAUUAUGUUAAGGAUUUUGAUAUGGGGGGAUUAUUCUGGAUUAUCUGGGUAGGUCCAAGAUCAUCAAGAGAGGGAGAUGAAAGGGUAGAAGAGAUAGGACGGCAGAAGCAGAGACUGAGAGGUGCACUUGGAAGAUUGAGGAAGGGGCUGCAAGCCAAGGAAUGUGAGUGGCCUCUACAAGCUGGAAAAGGCAAGGAAACAGAUUCUCCCCUCGAACUUUCAGGAGAAAUGCAGCCCUGCCUACAUCCUGAAUUUAGCCAAACAUAAACCAUCUAGACUUCUGACCUCCAGAGAAUAAAUGUGUGUUGUUUUCUAAAAUCUCUCUCUCUCUCUCUCUCACACACACACACACACACACACACACACUCUUGUAGAGAUGGAAUCUCCCUAUGUUGCCCAGGCUGGUCUCCAACUCCUGGCCUCAAGCGAUCCUCCCACAUCACCCUCCCAAACUGCUGAGAUUAUAGGCGUAUAGGCAUGAGCCACCGUUCCUGGUCAAAUUUAUGGUUUUUUUGUUUUUUUUUGAGACGGAGUCUCGCUCUGUCACCAGGAUGGAG